rnacentral:sRNA from 1 species
AAUAAGCACAUGGACAAGUGGGCACAGACUCGCAGGCCAGAUGGACCUCCAGCCACGGCCGGGCCAGACUUGUGGACACAGGCGCAGUGUCACAUACAGACCACGGGGAGACAUGGCACUAGGGGACAAACGGACGUGACACCACAAUGCACAGGGCAGGCCACAGAGCUCGAGGGACGUGGGCAGGGGCCUUUUGGCAUUUCUGCGCUGGAAUCAUGUGAGACAAGGGUGGUGGCCGCUCUGGAGGUGCCUGGGGGGUUCCCUCAUGACCCCUCUGGGCUUAGUCCAUCCUCCACACUGUUGUGCAGCUUCUCCACCUCCUGGUAGAGGAUAAAUACUGUUACCCUUAUCCCUGGUCACAUCCAGGGAGACGCGGUCCAGCGGCCCAGGCGGGGGACAGUGCCGUUCUAGAGGUCCUUGAGCCCCUCCUUCCUCAGGAUCUGCAGUCAUAGGCCGGUGUGUUCCGCAUUUGUGCUGCUCCAGGCCCCGCAUCCGGGUCUCGAUCCCAUCCAGAGGAGCGUUUCCCAAGACACUGGCUGCGCCCACAAUGGCUCCGAAGACCCCAGCGACCAGCGGGUCCAUGGGCUUGCUGGGGUUGUCCCCUCGGUACCAGCUGUGCAGGGAGGUCAGGAGGAGAAGCAGACGGCCUGGUUCCAGCCCUGCUUCAGCGUGGGUGCCAUGAGGCCCCGGUGAGUCCCCUUGUUCUCGCACAAUCUCUCUAACCUGGUGGGAGACUCCUCUGCACUGGAGGUCUGGAAAGGUCUGGCCGUGGAUGAACUUCACCUUGAUGGUGUCCAUGGAACAUACGACCACCAUGGCCUCGGCCACGCCAGCGCCCUGGCCGCACCGCAGCCAGCGCUGCCGUCAGGCCGUCCCUGGGCAUCCCGCGUCUGGCUGCUGUGGAACUGGAACAUUCAGAACCCCAACGCCGCCCUGGAGACAAGAGCCGCAGAGCAGGGAGCUGAGGCCGCGGUGCCGGCCCCCGACGCCAUGACCGCGACAGUGCGCACGCGGGAUCCAUGCGCGGUGCCCGGCUGGUGCCAGCGCUCGUCCGGCUGCAGCUACGACCUCCCGCGCUCCGUGGGGAGCGGACGCCCAUUUCAAUGCCGCCGGCCAGGCCGCCUGCCUGGUGUCGCCUUCCCCGGAGCCUCUGCUGCGCCUUCCCGGACGCGGCGCGGCGUGGCCACGGCGGGCGGGAGGCGGGCGCCCGCUGUGAUCUGAAGUCCCAGCCUCCUAAACUCCGCACUGGGACCUUAAUUUGGUUUUAACACAAAUGAAGAUCUCACUAAAGAUAAAAAGGGAUGUCUUGGCUUCUAAUUUUUGUUAAAAGCAAUAGCAUAUGUUGUAUAGGAUAGUGCAUUGGGGUAAAUCUUUUUUUAAUUAUUUUUAUUUUUUCAUCAGCCCACUGACAUUGAAAGGGGAUAGUUUUUAGGUUAUUGACGAGCAGUUUUCUCUCAGAUAACUGCCUUAGUAUAGGGGUUUGUGGUCACGUUGAUGAGAGCGUAGGCUGGGGUUAAAAGUCGUUAUGGCAGUAACAACCUUCUGAGGACCAGGAAAUUCAAAUCCCUCUCAUGAUACUUUGCUAAUAUCUCCCGAGUUUGCUGUGCCUUCCCUUUGUACCUCUUCCCACACGUGGUUUCUUGCACUUGGCCCAGCUAUAUUCCACUGUUUUGACUCCAUGCUUCUUAGCCUGGUGGCAGUGGUGAGGGAGUGAGGAGAUCUCUAAUGUUCUGAGGAAGCCUCAGACUUAGCACUGUGAACUGGGGUGUGGGGUUACUGACCGUUGAAGAGUUUCCUGCCCAUCCUGUACAUGCAAUGCCAGGACAAGAGCACAUUCCUGUCCCUCCUUGUCCAUGGUAGGGGAAACGUGCUCCUUCUCCAUGCUCUUAACUCCCAGUUGAAGUGGGCCUUGAACAGUGCCCUGUAAAUUAAUGGUUUCUUUUCUUUAUGGGAGAUGCAUCUGUGCAGAAAUGUGGGUGUUGGCCUUGUUCCUUCACCCUCAGUUCCAUGAGCUUUUCCCCAGUGCCCUUUGGCUCAGGUUUGGAUGCUCUUUCUCUGCAGAUUAGGCCUCCUGUUUUAUAGGAGAGAUGUGAGGGCUGUGUCUCCAGAGUUGCAGUAGUGGAUGGGAUAGUGGUCCCUCCCCAUCAGCACUGUGGGGUAAGCAUCCUCAGGAUUCUACCCCCAUCUUCCCUGACAGGCCCUGUAGGGUUCCUAGAAAAAUUAUACACAACGGUAUAAACCCUAUGUCUGUAGACUCCAGGGUUUCUCAUUCUCCUCACCCACCCACACACAGCCACCAGGAACUAGUUCAAAAGUUCUGGCUUAAUUUUACCAGUUUACAUGGUCUUCAGGGUACACAUAAAAGCCUGGAGCCUGUGUGACCUGCAGGCUUUCUGCAUCCCCUGAUGUUGGGUUUGUAGUCUGCCCUGUGACUUCAGUUCUUUAAAGGGCUCAGGAGAAACCAUCCAUUCAUUUGAAGUUUCUCCAGCAUUUUUGUUUGUUUGUUUAAUGUGUAGGAGCAACUCUUUGUCAGGUCUCUAUAUCUACAAACUUAACUCAGAAACUAAUAUUUUUAAAUAUAUUUCUUUUCUAUCAUACUUUUAGUGCUCCUCUACCUAUGCUAAUUGUUCUUCAGUAUUUUUUAUAUUUGUAUGUCUUUAUCUAUUUUAAAAUCAGGUUUAAUUGCUUCUUAAUCGAAUUAAUAACUUUUCAUUUAUUUCCCUAUGUAACUUUCUUUUCAGACGUUUAAAGUAUUGCUGUGUGUUUCAAGUGGAGGAGGUCAUAUUACAACUGACAUUUGUCCUUGACUACUGGACAUAUCACACCAGCCCUGAUUGCAGUUAUACUUGAAGCCAGAUCUACCCUUAACGUAUAUUCAUUUUACUAUUCAAUAAAUAUUAACUUAUCAUGAAUGGU